UGUGCGCGCGCGUGCAGCCACGUGCAAAUGUGUGCAGCAUGCCACUUCCACUUGCUCGUCAACAGGAAACUGAGCGCCACAUGCAUCUGCCCAACUUCUGAUAACAACCGUCCCCGUCGCCCUCCCCUCAGCUGGGAUCCGAGGACAGCCUCGUGUUGGUUCUGUCUGCAGGAGACUGUCCUGAUUAAUCUGAUCCGAGCCGACUUCUGCUAACCGCUGUUUUUUCCGUUUCUUUCGUUCUUUGACCAUUACGAGUUGCUAAUGGUCAAACAGGACAUUUCUUUCCUCAAGUGCGGCGACCCCUUCAAACACGCUCCCAGAUUAUCCCGCUGCUCCACACGAGAGAUAUCUUCUCUGAGCAACUUCUACUGAUUGAGUCCGGAGACGCAGGGCUUCAACUGGUUUACGGUCUUCCUGCAACCUUUGGAGCGUCAGAUGACGGAUAAAGACAUGUCCAACUAUUAUCUACCUCUGGAAAGCCACACUGGGCCAAUGAGUUCACCAACAUCACACCAAAGCACCCGCGGUUCUGGUUCAGUUCGCUGCAUGACUUGAUGAUUUCCUCAUUAUGAAUCAGGAGCAGAGUUGAACAUAAAGAAAGAACGCUCUCGAAGAAAAUAGAGGAGGAAAAUCAAAACUCUGAACUUCACUCAAAAAUUAGACGAAAGUAAGAAAGCGUUUGAAGCAAGCAAAAAAAAAAAACAAUCUCAAAAGGGCAAUUAGACCUCAGCUCACCACGGCACCGUCUGGGGAAGGAGUCGUCAUGAGAACUUGAUCAACCAAUCAGAGAGAAGCCAUAUUGUGGGUUGUAGGCAAUGAGAAAAUUAAAUGUAUUAACAUUUCAGUGACAUCUUUCAAGCUCGAUUCUGAGUCCGUGAUGUAAUUUUGAAAGUAAUAAUUCUUUGAAAAUGUUGAAAGAAACUUUGAGAUGUUUUAGGAAUAAGAUACUUAAAAUUGAUGAAAAUACUGAUAUUUCGAAGGCUUUGGAUGCCAUUGGAUGAAACUCUGCUGUGACUAAAACUAAAAUUCAACAAGAUAAUUUUCAAAGGUCAUGGUGAGAAUAGUUAAAGUCAGCAAAAGGUGAGAUCUGGUGUGCUUGAAUAAAUGGCUGAAAUAUAUUACAGGCCAAUGUACA